UUUGACCGUGGUGACACACCGGAGCAAACGGCAACUGUAGCUUGUUUGAUCCUUUCGGUAAUUAAUCUUACUGCAUCUAUUUAUGACAAUGAGUAGCACAUGUGUACAGCGAGCGGCGCUACAAUAAGUAUAGUGAAUUUUACUGUCUUGUUGUCUGCGUUAGAUUAAAGAUUAUGACACAAUAAAAAAGUGCUACCACUAGCAUCAUAAUGGCUCAGAGAACUUUCCUUUUACGAUGCAAACAAAUCGUUAAUAAGUGUACUCGACUUCUACAAGGGGACAGUCCACCAGAUGACGCAUUUCAAACAGUUCUAACAAGAAUGGAAACCCUUAAACGCUGUCUGGAGUGCUCAAGAGGGAGGUUGAUGGAUGCAACAGCAGUACAAGACAUGCUUGAAAACAUUGAGAAAUAUUCAGGAGGUCAAGGAAAUGCAACAGGGGGCUCAACAAGUGCUUAUAGACACAAGCUGUUACGGCGAUAAAGAGGCACGUCAUGGCUGGACUGUCAUGCGAGGUGGUGUCAGCAAAAGUAAAACUCACAAGUCAUAGAGUCAAUUGACUCUCUGCAUAUUCGUUGAACCGAGGGCUGCUUGAAGUGCUGUUUCUGUUGUAAUAGAGAUUAACGUGCACAUGCAUCAUAGACCAGAAGCACAAGUGGCCAUUGGUUUUAAUGCUGUCAACUAGGGCUCAAGCAUGCAUUAAAGAGUCCAUUUACCUAAGAUGAUGUGGUUGUUAUUGCUCCUGAUACAAAGUUUUCUGUGUGUACACUUAAUGUCACUUUUCACAAAGACAAAUUCUGUAACAUCUGUUGUCUCUGUUUGAUUAUAGCAGGUAAUGUUUAUAUUAGUGUUUAGAAAGAUAAAAGAAGGUACAGUACUGGGUUGUAUAGCACCGACGCCUGUGUGGUCACGUGUAACACUUGACUGUAUUUCAAAUAGAUUUCAGUAUUCCCCAGUAAAUAAAAAAAACUCUACAAAUGUC